AUUAAAACAAUCUUAAAACAUUUAACGCAUGCGCAAUCUCAACAUUCUAUAUUACUUUUAAAAAAGAUGACAUAUUUAAAUGAAAAAAACACUGAGAGGCAUAUGUAUUCUAUAAAAAAAGAAUAAGAGAAUGGUGUCACAGCAAAUAUACGAACAACGAGAUAUUAAAGAAAAAGAAGUAAAAUUGUCUAAACGGAGAUUCGAACCACAUCCUUUCGAGUAUGAAGAGAACGCCAGCAAAACGCGCAGUUACUUACUCAGAAAAAAUAAAUAUUAUAUAAUAAAAAGGUGUUGAUUA